CGCACCUUGCGCUCCCUGGUAUUCCGGGGAGCAUGCCUGUUUGAGUGUCAUGAACUCUUCAACUCCCCAGUUUCUUGUAGACUGUGUGGAUGUUUGGAUUCUGAGCGUUGCUGGCUCCUCGUGAGCGAAGCUCGUUCGUAAUACAUUAGCAUCUCUAAUUCGAACUCGGAUUGACUCAGUGUAAUAGACUAUUCGCUGAGGACACUAGUAAUAGUGGCCGUGUUCAAUACAAGAGAAGCUUCUAGCCCCUCUAGUCACUUUUGAUUUAGACCUCAAAUCAGGUAGGAUUACCCGCUGAACUUAA
rnacentral:misc_RNA from 1 species